GUCCGUAUCGAUUAGGGGUUAAAUCACUUCGUUGUGGAGAGCCUUUGGGCGAUCAAUUCCGAAGAGCCGCUGGUUCGAUUCCAGCUACGGACA